AAUCUAUUAAUCAAACUUGUUCAACCUUUUCCAUCUGGAAGGUGAAAAAUAGUAAGAGGAUUUGAUCUUUUUAAAAGGUAAAUCAGAUUAUGUCACUCCUGUGCUCAAGACCAUCACUGUUUUCUCAUCAUUCUUUGAAUCCCAACUCUUGGAGCAUGGCCCAGUAGGUACUCCAGACCUGGCCCUGCUACCUCUUCGACUUUAUCUCCCACUUCUCUCCUCCGAUUCACUCUGCUCUAGUCUUCCAGGCCCUCUGGUUCCUUCUCAAAUGCACCAGGCUUGGCCCAUCCCCAUAAUCUGUGUAUAAACUCUUCUUGAAUCCUUGCUUAACUCCUUAACUAGGCAUGUGGGGAUCAAAACUCCAAGGUGCCCAGAGGAAAAAAGCAACUGGAAGACUGAUAGAACUGAGCAGAGGUUGCAGCUUCCCACUGCAUCUCCAGUGCUUCCAACGUACAGGGGCUUGGUGUCAGGCUUCCCACUGAAACUCCAGAAAGCCCACCUUUCAUAAGUAAAGACACAUCCCAGGACUCAGGGACUCACCCUACAACUAAGGACAAAACUGAAAGAGACUCACCAUAACAGAACGUAAAGUUAAGCCACCUCAGGAUUAAGAUGAUCUGUCAGUUACUUAACAGUUUGUCAGAGCAACACACAGUACCCUUCAGAGGAAGAUAACAGAAUCUAGAGUCUCUAUAAGAAAUCAUCUAUAAUAUCCUAUAUACAGUCCAAACUUACAAAACAAAUUCAAAGAAACAGGAAAAUGCGGAUCGUAGUCAAAGAAAAAUCAGUCAACAGAAGCAGACACAGAUAACACAGAUGUUGCAAUCAGCAGAAAAGAACUCUAAAAUAAAUUUGAUAAGGUCUUUUAAAGAAUCAAUAGGAAUGAUGGAUUAAUUGGUAAAAAGAUAGGACAGUUCAGGAGGAAUAUGGAAACUCUAAAAGAGAACUAAAUGGGAACCCUAGAACUGGAGGAUACAUUAUAUUAAAAAAAUCAGAGGAUUGGUUACAACAAAAGACUGCAUCAGUGAGCCUGAAGACAAGUCAUCUUCCAAAUGAAGCACCCAGAGGAAAAGAUAUUGGGAAAAAAUGGAUAGAGCCUCAAUGACUUGUAUCAGAAAUUGUGGCCUGCAUGUAACUGGAAUUCCAGAAGGAAAAGAGGGAGAAUAGGAGAGAAAAAUAUCUGAAGAAAUAUUAGCCAAAAAUUUCCAAGUUUCCUCAAAAACAGCAACCCACAGGUCUAGGGAUAUCAGUGAAUCCUAAGCAGGAUAAAUACAAAGAAAUCCAGUACUAAUUACACAUAGUUAAACUGCUAAACCAGCAUACCAAAGAUAAAGAAAAAAUAUUUAAAAAUAUUAAAAGCAGCAAGAGGAAAAAGACUUACAUAUAGGGGCAAAACAGUGAGAAUGAUGGCCGACUCCUCAGAAAAAUAAAAGUUAAUGGACGAUAAGUAAAUCUUUGAAGUGCUGAAAGAAAAAAGAUGUCAACAUAGAAUUCUAUGUCCUGCAAAAAUAUAUAUCAAAACCAAAUGUGGAAUAAAGACAUUUUCAGAUAAACAAAAGCCUAGUGAAUUUGUUUCCAGCAGACUCACACAAGAAAAGAUGCUCAAUGAAGUUCUUCAGGCUGAAAGGAAGUGAUAUCAGGUAGAAAGGGAUGAAGAACAUUGGAACUGGUAAGUAUGAGGGUGUCUUAGCCAGCUUGGGCUGCUGUAACAAAAUGCCAUAAUCUUGGUGGCUUAAACAACAGAAACUUAUUUUGCACAGAUCUGGAGACUGGAAAGUCCAAGGCCAAGAUGCCAGAAGGAUUAAGUUCUAGUGAGAGCUCUCUCCCUGGCUUGCAGAUGCCCACCUUAUUGUUCUAUCCUCUAAAGGUAGAGUGAGAGAGGGCUCUGGUCUCUUCCUCUUCUUAUAAGAGCACUAAUCCCGUCUUGAGGGCUCCACCCUCAUGACCUAAUCUCCUCCCAAAGGUCCCACCUCCAGAUACCAUCACACUGGAGAUUAGGGCUUCAACAUGUGGAUUUGCAGGGGGAACAUCAGUCCAUAGCAGUGAGUAAAUACAAAGUCAUGGGAUGAGAUCUCCAAGGAAGUGGUUAUGGACAGAGACAGAAUUGCUUCUGGGUACUCCUAUAUCAAGAGGAUAAGAAACUGAGGAGGAGCCAACAAAGGAGACUGAGGGGGAACAGCCAGAAAGGAAGAAGGAAAACCAGGUGAGUGUGGUGUUUUGGGGAAGGGUCAGACUGUCACAUACUGCUGAUGCUGACAGGCCAAUUUGGAGGAGGACUGAGAAGUCAUUGCUGGGUUUGGCAUCCUGGAGGUCAUUGAUAAUGUCGACAGGAGCUGAUUUAGUGAAGCAAUGGGGGUGAAAGGCUAAUCAGAGUGAGUUUAAGAGAAGCUUAACAAUGGAAAAAAAGAGGGAUAGAUGUUAGGAGUUAAACAGCACUCUGUAGCAGCCUCCCUUCUAGGUAAAAUGCACGUAGCAUGCUUGGCUCAUAACAAUGGCACGUUACUACCAGAUUCUCCCUCCAUCUCUCUCCAGGGGAGGCUGGCACUGACCUGGUCCCUACAAUAGAAUAGGCAGGGCUGAGGGGCCUGCUCUUAGAUGUUCAGGGCAAAGUACCGGAGUUCUGUUGUGACCUUUUCCCUCUCUCUGAGCUCCUUACCCAGGGACCCAGAGGCAUGGGUGGCCAUAGGUUUUGUGGUGCACUGCCAGCUUGGUGGUAUAUUCUGAGGCACUGUCCCACCACAUUAGAUGUAAACCUGCGGGGGAGGCCCAGGAAGCCAGAUCAGAAGGGGCAGCUCCCUGACCCCACACUGCUGUGGAAGGACAGCUGGCAGGAGUCUCCUACUGGGGCCUGUGCACUUUUGCUCCCAGCCAAUCAGCCUGAAUGGCAAUGAUUCAUUUAGGAUACUCUUGGCUGAAAAGAACAGAAACUCAAUUGAAAAUAGCCUAAAUAGUGAAGAAGCUUAAUGUGUCACAAAAUACAUGUCUAACAUAGUGUUUUCCCUGUGUUGCAAGGGAGUGAGUUACUUCCUGCCUCUGUGCUCUGCUACCUCCCCCUUUAGUUCAGCCACACAUUCAUUCAUUCAGCAAAUAUGUAUUGGGUGCCUGCCUCAUGCCAGGCACUGCUCUAGGGGCUGGAGCUACCUCAAUGAACAAAACAAAUAAAAUCGCUUCUCUUGGUAUUUACAUUCUAUUUUGGAGAGAGAAACAAAAAAGUGCACGUGAUGAAAAAUAAUACGAAACUAAAUCAAGCUGGACAAGGGAAUGUAAAGUGUCAGAAAUUGGAUCCUAUUUUAUAUAGAAGGUCAGGGAAGACCUCUCUGAUAAAUGACAUUUGAGCAGAGACCCGUGGAAGCAAACCAUGUGGGUCUCUGGGAGAAGAACAUUCCAGGUGGAGGGAAGAGCGAGUACAAAGGCCUGAUGUGAAAGUGGCUUGGUGAGUUUGGGGACACAGUCAUGGAGGGAGAUGAGGACAUAGAGGUAGCAGCAGUGGGCCGGGUCACAUAGGCCUUCAUAGGCCGUGGUGAGCACACUGGAUUUUACUCUGCAAUGGAAACUCUUGGAGGAUUUUGAGAAGAGGAGUGCCUUGAUUUAACUUAGUCUUAAAGAAUCACUCCAUCCUGGAAGAGGGUAGGGGCAGAAGCAGAGAGCCCAGUUAGAGGGCUCUGGCAAUAAUCGUCCAGGUGAGAGAGGAUGGUUGUCUUGGAUCGGGGUGGUAGCAGAAAUGAUGAGAGAUUUUCAGAUUCUGUAUGUAUGUUGAAGGUGGGGCGAACAGGGUUUGCUGAUGAAUUGGCUGUGGAGUCAAGGGUUAUUCAAGGUUUUUGACUUGAAUGGCUCGAAGAAUGGAGUUGCCAAUAACUGGGACGGGAGACUGGGGGUCAGUGGUAGUAGGUUUGGGGGUUAAAAUUAAGAGUUUAGUUUUGGACACCUUUUACUUGUGCAAGUGGAGCUGUUGAUUUGGCAGCUGAAUGUUCAAAUCUGAAAUUUAGGGACAAUGAUUGGGCAAAGAUGUAAGUGGAGACAUUGGGACACAGGUGGUGCUCAAUGCUGUGUGCCUGAUGAGCCCACUGAGGAAGUGGGUGUGGGCAGGAAGGAGGUAUCAGGAUUAAUCCCCAGAUUCUCCAAAGUUUAAGGGUUGGAAAGAUGAGUUGAAAGUAGUAAAGGAGAUUGACAGGAAAUGACCAGUGAAGUAGGAGGAGAACAAAGGGAAAACGUUGUCCCUGAGAGCAAAUUUCAGGGAAGACAGAAUGAUUGUCUGUGUCACAUGCUGCUGGCGAUCAGAGCCACACCGACUUGCAGUGAACCUCCUCUCUGUUGGCCUUGGAGUGGUGCCCCUGAGACCUGGGGUUGUUUGUUACUGCAGCAUAACCUAUGCUGACUGAUACAGCAUGCUUUUCUCCAACUAUAUUCCCUUUCCUGAGUUCAGGUCCAGAGAGGAUGGACUCUUGGUUUAACAAGCACUGGGGUUUUGCUAGAGAGGCAUGACAGAGGGAGCAAGGGACAGGACACUGAGUGUGUGUUUAAUGAAGCCUGAGCUGGACAAGGAGAGAGGUAAGGGAGAUGCUAGAUUCAUCCUGAGGGUCCUCCCCUGAUAGUUACGAGAGGGUGGCCAGAGGCAGUCAGGACAAAAUGCUUCCUCUCAGAUCUCUGGGGAGAACGUGCCCCCGUGUCCAGGCGGAGCUUCUGACAACAAUGAGAGCCACUGAGUUUUCUUUCUACAAGGGCUCAUUUUAAUUUUUCUUUCCAGCAGAGCCUCUGCCACAGCUAUUCUAGGUACCUGCUUUUGUUUUGUCCUUUUCAGAUUGAAGCUGACUGGAGGGAGAGAGAGAGAGAAUAAGAACACAAGUUCCCUCCCAUUUUGCCCUUUGGGAGGGUAGGCUUUCUGCUUCUUACAGAUUCUCCAUGCGCUUGGGUGAGUAUUGUCCUAUGUGGUCUGCCCACACCCUCUAGGUCCUGAUCACUGGCUGUCUAUUCCAGACAAGGACAGGGAUCAAAUCACACAUUUUGGAAGCUGGGCAGGCUGGAACCUGGUCCUUCGACUCUAAGCCCACCUCUCCCUGUACCGUACUGCAAGGGGCUAGAAGGCUCCCCAUUCCCCCAACCACCUUUUCCUUGUUAGAGAAGACAAGUGGGCCUGCACAGCCAUGGGCUCUGCCCCCAGAGACGAUCUGCAAGUUCUGGCCCCAGCCUGCGGGCCCCCUUCCCGGCCGAGCUCAGGAAGGAAGCAGCAGUUACGACUGGAUGCCUCUCCCAGCUGCCCCCCUCCAGUCCAAGACGCUGGCCAAGAGCCCGCACGCUCUUUGCUUCUCAGCCUCCGCUCAGGCACUGGCACUUAAAAGAGGCUACAUGACGAAGGGCAGGAGUGUGCAGACAGGCCCCAUUUCCCAAGCUUGCAGGGUGCACAGCUUGGCUGGGCCGAGCCACACCCCUGGCCGGGCACUUCUUCCACAGGACUCUGGCCUCCCUCCAGGUGGGCUCUGUGGGCCUUCCUGGCACCCCCAUCCGCCCUCAGCAAAGCGCCUCCUGAAGGAAGGGGCAUGGAGAUGCCCCCACGUGACAAGUGAGGAUGUGUUCCACAGACGGAGCCCGCUCUCAAGGUCACAUGGCUCAUGACACCACGGCCAUGGUUCUGUUUUAGAUCUCCCUCCCUCCCAGGGCGAGGACUACUAGGCCUUCAGUCUGGUGUUAGCUAGGCCACCUGAGCCUCCCCUGUGACACCUACUAGGCCAACUGGUAAACCUUGCUGAAGGCUCCGGGGUGGGCUCGCUCAAGGAGCGCUGGGGCAGGGGUAGGCGGUGCCCUGGACAGAGGCUGGGGAGGAAAGGAGAGCAGGAGAGUCAGGGCACGGGAGGGGGCAGGCCCCAGCCAGGCUUCUGUAGGCUUUCCCAGGUUCUCCUAUAGGAAGGGCCCGACUUUCGUAUUUUAUAGGAGGCAAGUUUGUUAUUUGCUCAAUGACCAAAAUUUAACCUCAGGUCCCUUUGAACAAGCUCUAGGCUCUUGGGUGAAUCACUGGUCCUUGCCUCAGUUUCCCCCUGCGUUUUGGAUUCAGUGCUCAAUCACAGUGACUCUGAGAGGACAGGACACAGACCUGUUAACAAGGGCCCUAUCCUGCCACAGGGGUGGAGCACAUUGUGGGCUGUCUGGCUGGGUGGGGAUGGUCAGUGGUUGGCGGUGACGACAGCGCCUAUCAGAGAGGCACUGACUCACCGCCCUGGGGCACUGGACAAGUAGGGCAAGCCAGUCUCAGUUUUCCCAGGUAUGAAAUGGGUGUCGGGCAAUUUGCUUCCAUGGGAGGGCCUGGAGGGCUGUAACCACGCAAGGGUGUGUAAAACCCUGGGAGCCUGAGGAUGCUGGCAGGACAGCCAAGGGUUUUAACUGGCUGAGGAAUUAGGAAAUUCCUUUAGAAGAAAGAACAGUUGGGGAGAGUGAAAUGGCGACCCAGGGAGAAAUUGGUGCCCUUGGGAAGCCAUCUUAGCGCCCAGCAAAGCCCUCUCUCACAAGGCAAUCAAGUUGUUUCUUCUGUUCAUACCAAAAGGGCCUUUUUAAAAUGCAAUUAGGCUCUGUUUUAUUAUGUGUGACAGACGAGGCCAUUAACCAUUCCAACGAUUAAAUCAGACUUCAUUAAAAAAAAAUGGAAGUAACUGUAAAUUGCCUUGGGUCACGAUCGUUUAGAGCCGAGACACUGCAAAGGAAAACAUGAGGGAGCUCACUACCAUGAGGAAGUUAAUCAAUUUGACACCCCUGGCGGGCUGCGCACCCGGGGAAGAGCUAGCUGCACGCUCGCCUCUCCCGGUGGUGGGAUCCCGGUGGGUGUGGAGUCGUCACCUCUCCCUCCCCAGAGCAGAGCCAGGAAGGCACGAAAAUAACUUGAAAGUUUGGGGGAAAUGGGGAUUUCUUUUCCCAGAGAGGUUUUGCUAGUUUUCUUUUCUGAAAAAUUACGUAAAUAUAUCAAACGUGAUACCAAGUCAUACAUAAUACAUUUUUUAUGUUUUUGCACCAGAAAGUGACUUUAGAGCUAUAACGAGCAGUGCUGUCGUCUGUGCCAAGCCCUGUAUAGGAGCUGAGAACUCCGAAGAGAGCAGGACAAGGUCUCUGCCUCCAUGAAAUUGACAUUCUGGGCAAGACAGUUGAUACAUGUGAGAUCAGGAGGAGGUAAGCGCCUUGAAGAAACAUAAGGCUGGGUCAGGGGACAGGGAGGGAUUGGGGUGCGGCCAGGGAAGGCCUCCAGGGCAGAGGAAUUUGAUCCGAGGCCUGAAUGAAGUGAGGGAGCAGAGAUUCUGGCAGAGUGGCCUGGAGGCCAGGGGCGGGAGGUGCUCCGUGUGUUCCCGCAGCACAGCUCUGUGGCCUGUUUUGCAUUGUGUUGCCACAAGUAGUUACUCAAGGCAAGGAGUGUCUCAUUACUCUCUGAAUCUACCCAGGAGCCCGGCUCUGUAUUGGGCACAAGAGGGCCAUUGGCACAUGCCUGCAGGACGGCAGAUGAAUGAAUGCGUGAACCAAGGGAGAAAUGAGUGAAUUCCUGGACCUGUGCUGGGCACUGUAGAGAGUCUGUCCCCAGCUGCCCCAGUAAAUGUGGACAGAGCCUUAACUUCCAGCCACAGUGCUCUGCAUCCCAAGAGCUCCAUCCCUGGACUCCCAUCCCUCAAGCCGGAAACUGACCACCUGGAAGCCUCUAGGGCGCCCGCCCUGCUGGCACCGUUGUUCUUCUUUCCUGGCUGUGCCAACAGCGAGAGGCAAAACGUGCGUUUAGGUAACAUUUUGACGUCUGGGACAGGUUUGGUGGGCUCUGGCAAUAAGAGAGCAUGGGUUUGCACGUCCUCAUUGUUUCCUUGUUUGCAUCAUUACGUUGUGUGUUAUUUGCAGCAAAGAUGGCGUUUCAUACAGAGGAGAAUCAGGCCUCAGACUUUUCUGUUGUCAAGCUUGUCAAAAGAAGAGUCUACACACCCUUCCGCACUCCCUCAGUUCACUCCGGGCAGAUUUCUGACACUGAACCUGCUCCCUCAGCACGGCCUUGUGGAGAUCUCCAAGGACUUCCACGUUGCCAGAUCCAUUGGGUGCAAUUAAACAUUCAUCGGCCUUGCCCUCUGAGUCCCUAACAGGCCAGUUACCAUCUCACUCCUUCGUCAGCCCCUUUCUCUUGUUCAGAGACCCUGAUCUGCUGGUCAUCCUCCUUCGCUGCCCCUCCGGCCACUUCUUUUCCCUUUGCAGGUUUUCCUACCUCCUCCAUCUGACCACUAAAGGCUAGAGGUCUUCUGGGCUCUGUGUUGCGUCCUUGUUUUCCUUUAAAUCCUUUUAGUAUAGAACAUUUCAAACAUACAUUAAAAGUAGAAAGAAUAGUCUAAUGAACCCCUAUGUACUCACCCAUUCUCAACACUUACCAAAUUAUGGUCUAAAUAUUCAUAACAUUCGUAAAUAUUAACUCCUCUCCCCUGGUUUAUUUUUAGGCAAAUUCCACACUUCAUAUUAUUUUAUAUGUAAACAUUUCAGUAUAUUUAAAAGACAAGGACCCCUUUAAAAACAUAGCCUUGAUAUCAUUAACACACUUAAAGGCUGUGUAACUAUAACUGGUUAGUCCUUUUUGGUUCUGUCUCUUUAGAAAUCUCAUUGACACCAUGGGCUUAAAUAGCCUCCGUAGGCCAAAGAUUCCCAGGCUUAAAUCUUCAAUCUAGACCUCUCUUUCAGCUCUAAAGUCUCAUUUCUAAUUCUCUGCUUGACAUUUCCACAUGCAGGUCUCAGAAGCAUCUCAGAUUUAACGUGUCCAAAACAGAACUCAUGAUUUCUACCCUAACCCAGCUCCUGCUUUGGGAGACCCUAUCUUGGUAAAUGGCAUCGGUGUCUGCCCAGAUGCCCUCAUUGUUCUUCACACCUCCUUCACCCUCACGCCCUCCUCCAAUCCAACAGCAGGUCCUGUAACUUCUUCCACCCAAAUAUACUUAAAAUAUGCUGACAAUCCACUUCUUUCUAUCUCCACAGCCAAACCAAGCCACCACCUGCUCUUGCCUGCACUGCAAGAGCCUUGUAACAGGUUUGUGUCUCUCACUUGCAACUCUGCUGACACUCCGCUGCACAUGAGCAAGUCUGUGCUGGGCAGUAAUAUAUCAGAAUACUUUCCUUCCAGUUAGUAAAUAAUCACUCUCCUUCGCCACUCCCCACACCAGAGCUCCACCCCCCAACCCCCACCCCCUGCCCCCCGCACCCUACGCCCUCCCUCUGUCCAUCCAAUAAACCAAGCCUGGCCAAGCAAGGGGCCUCAGAGACCUUGCUAUAGUUUGGGUCUAUGUGCUCAAAUACUUAAACCUUCACAUGGUAUUGUGAUGACCUAAGACUUCAGGUAACUUCCCUCAUGAGAGUCAAGGGAAAGAUCCAGAGAACUUCUGCUCUCAUACUCUUCAACAGCCAAGAUAAUAUAUUAAAAAAAAAAUGUGAACUUGCCUUUGAGGUGGGGGAGUAGUGACUGGGAGGGGAGAUGAGAGGAACUUUUGGGGUGUUGGUAAUAUUCUGCUCUAGAUCUGGGUGGUGGUUACAUAAGUAUGUUCACUUCGUGAAAAUUCAACUGGGCUGGGUUCUUACAAUUUGUGUACUGUUCUAUCUAUCGGUUAUAUUUCGAUAGAGUUUUCUUAAAAUAUGUCAGACAGAAUUUUCCUGUGGUUUUGGCCCAAGAGGGCAGUUGUCUCUUAAUCUUACCUUUUCUCUUGCUCACAUCCUCUCCAGAGGCUUCUGCAGGGAAGAGGGCUCCUGCCAUCCAGGACCGGCCUUGCAGCAGUCAUGCCACAGGUCACCACCAGGGGCGCUGUGCCAGACUCCAAUUGUUCGGUGGAUGGAUAGGGUAGAACAGGCCUCUUCCCCCCUGUUACUCUCUCCCCUCAGCCUCCACGAGAUCAACUCCUCCAGUCUAUUCAGGCAACAGUGAAUUUCUUACCCAGGAGUUAGGAGAGCUUCUGGAAUUGAUGAGCUCCCGGACUAAGAUCUGAGUUCUGGCUAAUCUGCACUUCCCCUUGAAUCUCACUGCGGGAGACACCUAAAGACUCAGGCCCAUAAAAUAAAGCCAUGAAAAGAUGCUCAGUCUCACUGCUAAUAAAGGAAAAUGCAAAUUAAAAUCUCAGAGAGACACCGUUUCGUUUUGCUUGGCAAAAACUUAAAGGCUGAUAAUACCAAGUGUAGGCAACUAUGUGGAGAGUUCAAAGUUCUACAGGUGGGAGUAUGAAUCGGUAGAACCACUUUGGAAAGAAGUUUGGCAACAGUCUGAAGAAUUGAAGAUGCUCCUGCCCCAUGACUCAGGCAUCCCACUUCUAAGUCUAGUAGUGCAGAGGAGUGUGGGAGCCUCGCUGGUACAAGAAUCUUCUUACAAGGUCAUUUCUAACAUUAAAAAAUACAAAACAACCAGAAAAUAAAAUUUUGAAAUUGUGUCCUAUUUAUAUAGAAGUUAAAAUAAAUGAACUGCAGUUCACAUGUAUCAACACAGAUACAAACAAAGGCAAAAUGUUGAGUGGAAAAAACAAGUGCACAAGGAAUGUCCAGUGUGAUUCCAUUGGGAAAAAGUUUCAGGACAUGAAAAUCAGCACUGUAAGAUGUGUAUGGAUGCAGACAUGUGUAUUAAAAGUAUCAAAGUAUUAAAAGCUCAUGGGAAUGAUAACACCAGUUUCACGAUAGUGGUUUCUGCUGGGGAAAGGGGAAUGAUACGCAGGAAACUUCAGCUCAUCUGUUGUUCCAUUUCUUAAAAGUGAAAAUCUGGAGGAAAGAUGGCUCAGCAUUAAGUGUGAUAAAGCCAGGUAGUAGGUACAUUUUUCUUUUCUAUCCUUGUCUGUACGUUUGGUAUGUUUUCCAAUAGAAUCGAUCAAUUAAUGAAAAAAGCUACUUAGGCCUCCCCAGGGGAAGAGGGCAUGAAGGCUCCCUCCCACUCCAAAUGGUUCACCUGUCCCACGGUUGAGCCUUUGCUCCCAGCACCGUCCUCCCUUCUUCCAGGCACUUAGGUGGAAAACUCUAAAGCACAAUGUGGAAAAUUCUACCCUUCCCCCAGGCCAAGCUUCUGUCCCAGAGUCCUGUCCUCAACACUGCAUCAUACAUCUGAGCCUUUGGUCUGGGUAGUGGCCCAACUUCAGCCUGACGUAAGGAAACAUGGCGUUUAGGAGCCAGACUACCUGGGUCUGAGGGCUGCCUCUGCCACUUGACUGAGGGGCCUUGGAUGAGUUACUCUGAUUCUUUGUGCUGUAGGGUGGAGGGAGCACGGCUGGAGGAGAGGGUGACCAGGUGGCUGGCCAGGUGAGCAGGGGCAGCUCAGGGGGCUGGCGACCCUCAUCCUAUGUGGAAAUAGGCUACUUCCCACAGGGUGACCAGAUCUUAUUUAUAUGUGGCAACAGGAAAUGGCAACCCUCUGUCCACCCACCCCAAACCACGGGGGAGAUUGAAUUAUUUUAGCAUCAGUUCUUUCUAUUUCAAGUCUAACACGCAAGUAAUGGAGUGCUGGCCAUCACUGGUUCACUCUCAGAGAUUCUUCCUCAUUGAACCCGACACCGCCAUGCCAAAGACAGAGGUCCCGGCCAUGGGAUGGAAGAAUCCAUGGCCCCAGAUUGAGUUAUGGGCUCUGAUAACUCUUUCUUGAAGUUUGAGGAGUUUCACAUCUUAUAGUAAAGGGGCAGAGUUGGAAAGCCCACCCAGGUCUGAUGCCUCCCCAAGCAGUGCUCCCUCCUCUAUAGCAGUGCUGUGCCACUCCACAGUCCACUUAGCACGGGGGGCCCUGUAAGAGAUGGACUCAGGGGCCAGGGCAGGUUUAAGGGGCCUAAUAACAAGAUGUAACCUUAGUAGGGAGAGAGAAGUGCUUUCCUUAGCUCUGAAGGUGUGCAGAGGAGCUACAAAGUCAAGGCCAACUUCAGAGGCAGGUGGAAAGGUCAGCUCAAGGCCUGGGCUUGGAAUGACUUAGGUGGUUCACCUAAGGUGAAUCUUGGAAGAAGAUGAGUGGGGCAUGGAGAAUUGUAAAAUCACAGAGAUUGCUACUGUCUAUCCGUUUUCCUCUAAUAACAGAAUCCCCCCUUCCUUUUUUUAAGCUAGGCACUUGGCUGCCCAACAUAAAAACUACAUUUCCCUGUCUCCCUGGCUAUGUGAAUAAGUUCUAGCCAAUGAGAUGCAAGCCAAAGUGGAGAAGUGUUCUCAUAGAGAAGAGGUGUUCCUUGUUCUUCCUUUUUUCUUCUUUUGUUCCCUGGAGAGCAGAAGUGUUGGCUGGUGUUGGAGCAGCAAUCUUGGGCUUUGAAGUGACCAUGUAAGCUGUACUAAUGGGACCACAAGAUAGGUGCCUCCUCCUCACAGCACUGUGGGGUGUCAUACCAGCCAGUCCUCCUACCUGUGGACUUUUGUGUGAGAUAGAAAUAGUUUCUACUUUGUUUAAGCCACGGUUCCUGUGGAGUUUCUGUCACCGAAUCCCAAAAUUACAAAGAAGACUACUAUUUUCAGUUUUUUGAUAAUUCUUCUGCUUGCCUUUUGGUGCUGGUCUGUCAUGGAUAGCUUUCCAACCUUUGCUACAUUUUCCCUGUUUUAGCAAAGAGAGAACAGAACUCACUCAGGCUCAGGCCCUUGGCAGGCACCAACAUCUAAAUGUAAUCUAUUGACAUUGUUUUGUUUCUAUGGUUUUUAUUUUUAGGUUACCAUUUAAUUAAGGUAAAGGACACUGCUUUUUCAUUUACAAUAGUGACAUGAGAUCACUUUCCUUUUUAAAUAAUUUACUUAAGCAAAAACAAUUGAGUCGAUUUAAAAGGUAUUAAGUGACUGAGAGCGCAGGUUAUAUCAGCCACGGCAGAAAUCAAGGAGGUAGCUGGAGGAUGACUAAAGCUUGGAAAACAAGGGUAUAGAUUUUGCUGCUUCAGAGAGAAUUAUAUAAACAUUUCCUCCCCCAGUAUUUUUUGGUUUUCAUUUUGGAUGAUUCAAAGUAUUCUUGUAAUGGGGUUUCCUAAUUCCUCAAGACAAUAAUUUAGUAAACACUCCCAGAGACCGUGCAUAGUAGUUAAAGAGUCUGAGUGCUGAAGUCAAACUCCCUGGGUUCAGUUCUUGGCUCCUGCAAUGACCAGCUGUGUGACCUUGGGCAAAUUACUGUAAUUCUCUGUGUCCAACAUCUCACCUGUAAAAUGGAGUUGAUGAUGUUAUUGGGAGGAUUAAAUGACACAUUGUAUGUAGAAUUCUGAGCUGAGUAUCUGGCCUACAUGAAGAUGUAAUAAAUGGCUGCUGUUAUUAUUACUGUUAUGUCUGACUUGAACACGUCAAGAAAUCAGUGUUGAAAGCUUUAUAUUAAGCCCUUGGGAGUUGAAUAACUCUGUCCCGAUGCUCAAGAAGGUUUGCAUUUUAAAGGGAAGGUUUAUCUCAGUUUUUCUAUUAAUGUCCUUUUUCUGUUCUAGGAUCCAAUUCAAGACACCACGUUGCAUUAAUCUUCACAUUUACCUUAGUUACCUCCGAUCUGUAAUAGCUCCCUACUUUUUCCUUGCCUUUCAUAACCUUGACACUUUUUAGGAAUACUGGUCUGAUAUUUUGCAGAAUAUCCUGCAAUCUGGACUAGUCUAAUGCUUUCUCACAAUUAAAGUGAUGAUCUUGGGGAGGAAUACUACCGAGGUGACUUGUCCUCAUUACAUCAUAUCAGAGGGUACGUGGUGUCAAUGUCUUACUACUGGUGAUGUUAACCUUGAGCAAUUGGUUCGGGGGUGCCUGCCAGGUGUCUCCACUAUACAGUUAGUAUUUUUUUCUUUUUAUACUCUAUUUGUUAGAUGAAGGUCUAAAUCCAGCCCACACUCACAGAGAGAAAAAUUAAAGUCUCCUUCCUGGAGGGAGAAGUAUCUAAGAAUUUGUGAACAUAUUCCACCACAGGAAUUAAUAAAUAUUUGAGGAAGAUAUUUUGAAACUAUACUCUGUUUUGUCUUAGACCUUCACCCACAACUUUUAGCAUUCAUUGGUGAAUCUUGCCUUCAACCAUUGUUACUGUGAUGUUCUCAUGGUGGUUUUCUAUUUCCUUCUUUUGUUCUACAUUGAUUAGUUGGAAUUCUUAUGAAGGAGGAGUUGUCUCAUCCCCCACCCCAUUUACUUAUUUAGUCAACAAUUAAUUUAUAUCAGUAUGGAACAAUAAAUAUUUAUUAUAUCAUUUGGGAUAUAAUUCAAUAGUAAUGUAUUAGGAGCCCUUUCACAGUGGCUUGUGUCCUUUGGUAAGCCCCCAUAAUUAUU